rnacentral:lncRNA from 1 species
AUCUCUUCCUGGAGAUUGUUCUUUGUGGAGUUUUUGCAAGCCUACAACACGGAUGUCAUCUAGAAGAUGUUCUCCAGCAUCCAAGGAUGUGGUUCGUUUCUAACAUGGAGCAGGUGAGGGAACUUGGAUCAUUUCUUCUGGGACUUUGUGUUGCACCGAAGUAGAAGACAUUCCUCUUAAUCAAACCAGUUUAACUUCACUGAAAUGCUGGAUCAACCCGCAGAAUGCACUGCAAACUGUCUGGAUGCGAUUGCAUUUAUUGUAAAAUUCAAAUCAUGUCAAACAUCAAGAAGAGGUGGAAGAAAGAAGCAUGCUUUCACAGCAGCGAGCAUUUUGUUUUUGACUGUGGGGUUCCUCUAAGAACUGACUCCAAAUGUAACUGAUGCCUUCAGAAAGCUCUGUCCCCCGCAACUCUGAACUGUGAGCAGGUGAAGAGUCUCAGGAAAUGGAUCAGCCUUGCCAUCAGCCCCAGAGGCACAGAGGACCUUCUGAAUGUGGUGAGAUGGGGUCACUACACACCUGGAAGAAAAGACAGACUGAACUUCUCACCCCAUUCUAUGCAACUUGGUCAUACCGAGGCUAUGCCAGGCUGAGGAGUUGCACUGCAGUGUUCUGAUGCUGCUGGAGUUUCUGUGACAAGAUCAGGACACUGUUCACUGCACUGGGAGGGAGCCUCUUAGCCAAAGGCAGAUUCUAUGGUGUUGGAGUUAAAUAGCAGAGAAGAAUCAGAGCCUGCUCCUAAACAACAGUAAGAUCUCAGCAAAAUUCAUGUGUGACUCCUCUGAAAUGAGAGUUCACUGUUCGCUUGUACUGACAGCUCUUGAAAAUGCCACCAGGGAUAUUUUUCCCCAUACAUCUUCACAGUUUUGUCUUUCCUGUGCCCAUCUUCUCCUAGAUAGGCUCAUUUCAACAGAUGUCUGAACCAUUCUGCUGAUACGUUGAUCCUGCACUGAUAAAGCCAACCAUUCACUUAACUUUUACAUUAAAUAAUGAACUUGAGUAAUC